rnacentral:rRNA from 1 species
GUAGGCAGCGAGCGUUGUUCGGAGUUACUGGGCGUAAAGGGUGUGUAGGCGGUUCGCCAAGUUCGGUGUGAAAUCUCCCGGCUUAACUGGGAGGGUGCGCCGAAUACUGGCAGGCUAGAGUGCGGGAUGGGAGAGCGGAAUUCCUGGUGUAGCGGUGAAAUGCGUAGAGAUCAGGAGGAACACCUGCGGUGUAGACGGCUCUCUGGACCGCCACUGACGCUGAGACACGAAAGCGUGGGUAGCAAACAGGAUUAGAUACCCUGGUAGUCCACGCCCUAAACGAUGCAUACUUGGUGUGGGCAGUUCAUUCUGUCCGUGCCGAAGCUAACGCGUUAAGUAUGCCGCCUGGGGAGUACGGUCGCAAGGCUG